GCCACUGUAAUGUAGUGGUUUGAAUGUUGGACUACAACUCUGGAAACCAGGGUUCAAUUCCCCGCUCAGCCA